rnacentral:rRNA from 1 species
UACGUAGGGUGCGAGCGUUGUCCGGAAUUACUGGGCGUAAAGAGCUUGUAGGUGGUUUGUCGCGUUGUUCGUGAAAUCUCACGGCUUAACUGUGAGCGUGCGGGCGAUACGGGCAGACUGGAGUACUGCAGGGGAGACUGGAAUUCCUGGUGUAGCGGUGGAAUGCGCAGAUAUCAGGAGGAACACCGGUGGCGAAGGCGGGUCUCUGGGCCGAUACUGACGCUGAGGAGCGAAAGCGUGGGGAGCGAACAGG